rnacentral:tRNA from 1 species
UUCCGUUUCGUCUAAUGGCAGGACAACAGUCUCUGACACUGUAAAUGUAAGUUCGACUCUUACAACGGAAA